UACGGGGGGGGGCAAGCGUUGUUCGGAAUUACUGGGCGUAAAGGGCUCGUAGGUGGCCAACUAAGUCAGACGUGAAAUCCCUCAGCUUAACUGGGGAACUGCGUCUGAUACUGGAUGGCUUGAGUUUGGGAGAGGGACGCGGAAUUCCAGGUGUAGCGGUGAAAUGCGUAGAUAUCUGGAGGAAUACCGAUGGCGAAGGCAGCCUGGAUAACACUGACGCUCAUGCACGAAAGCGUGGGAGCAACAGG
rnacentral:rRNA from 1 species